GCUCAGUUGGUUGAGCAUCCAACUCUUGAUUUUGGUUCAGGUCAUGAUCUCACGGUUCAUGGGUUCAAGCCCCAUGUUGAGCU
rnacentral:tRNA from 1 species